AAAACGUCUCUUAACAUAACGUGAAAGAUAUAAUUACAAAAUUUACUAUUAAUACCAUAAUACAUCAUUCCAUGUUCAUAUUUUUACAUAAGACCAUAAGAAAAAUAGAUGUAAAAACUGCCAUCGAACAAAACACACAAAAGAAAACUUUCGGUGCAAAACUUCGUUGUCCUUAAUCCAUCAUCGCGUAAGCCGACUAACUUCCAUCAAUUCAAAUGAUCAUGGAUCUGAAAAGUUUAACAUAACAUACUUUGAGUAUAAGGAAAUACUCAGUAAGAUACCAUGCUUGAACAUUUAUCAUGAUAAUACUACACCAAAGAAAGCAAUCAAACCCAUACUUCCAUAUUCCGACAUGCCGGUGCCCUUCGGACUUGUCCUAAGGCAUAGAUAUAUCUAACAUUUGUGGAUUUCUCCACCAUAAUCAUAACAUUUGUGGAUUUCUC
rnacentral:lncRNA from 1 species